rnacentral:lncRNA from 1 species
CGUCUGUCCGUUCGUUCGUCCGUCCGUUCGUCCGUCCGUUCGUCCGUCCGUCUGUCCCGCUUCAGGUUAAAGUUUUUGGUCAAGGUAGUUUUUGAUGAAGUUUAAGUCCAAUCGACUUCAAACUUAGUACACAUGUCCCCUAUGAUAUGAUCUUUCUAAUUUUAAUGCCAAAUUAGAGUUUUUACCCCAAUUUCACGGUCCACUGAACAUGGAAAAUGAUAGUGCGAGUGGGGCAUUCGUGUAUUGAGGACACAUUCUUGUUUUGAGAGGAUUAAUAUUCAACAGCAUAGUGAAUUGCUCUAAGAGAAAACAAAAAUUUUAAGUUCAUUAGAACACAUUCAUUCUGUGUGUCAGAAACCUAUGCUGUGUCAACUAUUUAAUCACAAUCCAAAUUUAGAGCUGAAUCCAGCUUGAAUGUUGUGUCCAUACUUGCCCCAAC